rnacentral:rRNA from 1 species
AAUCUUCCACAAUGGGUGCAAACCUGAUGGAGCAAUGCCGCGUGAAUGAAGAAGGUCUUCGGAUCGUCCCGUUCUGUUAUUAGCGAAGAACAAGUCAAGGAGUAACUGUCUUGACUCUGACGGUACCUAACCAGAAAGUCACGGCUAACUACUUGCCAGCAGCCGCGGUAAUACGUAGGUGACAAGCGUUGUCCGGAAUUAUUGGGCGUAAAGGGAGCGCAGGCGGUUGGAAUAGUCUGAUGUGAAAGCCCCCGGCUUAACCGUGGAAGGUCAUUGGAAACUGUCCAACUUGAAUGCAGAAGAGGUAAGUGGAAUUCCAUGUGUAGCGGUGAAAUGCGUAGAUAUAUGGAGGAACACCAGUGGCGAAGGCGACUUACUGGUCUGUGAUUGACGCCGAGGCUCGAAAGCGUGGGUAGCGAACA